rnacentral:tRNA from 1 species
GGGGUUGUGGCUCAGCGGUAAAGCAUUCGCCUAGCAUGUGCAAGGCCCUGGGUUCGAUUCUCAGCACCACA